rnacentral:rRNA from 1 species
AAGACCCCAAUGCGUCGCGGAUGCGG